GAUGAAGAACGUAGCGAAAUGCGAUACGUAGUGUGAAUUGCAGAAUUCAGUGAAUCAUCGAAUCUUUGAACGCACAUUGCACCUCUCGGUAUUCCGGGAGGUAUGCCUGUUCGAGCGUCAUUUGUACCCUCAAGCUCUGCUUGGUGUUGGGUGUUUGUCCCGCCUCUGUGUGUGAACUCGCCUCAAAACAAUUGGCAGCCGGCGUACUUGUUUCGGAGCGCAGCACAUUUUGCGAUCCAGAUCAACGUACAGCGGCAUCGAAGAAGCCUUAUUUAACGCUCUUGACCUCGGAUCAGGUAGGGAUACCCGCUGAACUUAAGCAUAUCAAUAAGCGGAGGA
rnacentral:misc_RNA from 1 species